rnacentral:tRNA from 1 species
GGCUCAAUGGUCUAGUCGUAUGAUUCCUGCUUCGGGCUCUUCCCGCCGUCUUCGCGGUUCAAUGCAGGAGGUCCCGGGUUCAAUUCCCGGUUGAGCCC